rnacentral:rRNA from 1 species
UACGUAGGGGGCAAGCGUUGUCCGGAAUGACUGGGCGUAAAGGGAGCGUAGACGGUAUGGCAAGUCUGAUGUGAAAUACCGGGGCUCAACCCCGGGGCUGCAUUGGAAACUGGCAGGCUGGAGUGCCGGAGAGGCAGGCGGAAUUCCUAGUGUAGCGGUGAAAUGCGUAGAGAUCAUACAGAACACCGAUUGCGAAGGCAGCUUACCAAACUAUAUCUGACGUUGAGGCACGAAAGCGUGGGGAUCGAACAGG